UACAGAGGUCUCGAGCGUUGUUCGGAUUCAUUGGGCGUAAAGGGUGCGUAGGCGGCGCGGUAAGUCGGGUGUGAAAUCUCGGAGCUUAACUCCGAAACUGCAUUCGAUACUGCCGUGCUUGAGGACUGGAGAGGAGACUGGAAUUUACGGUGUAGCGGUGAAAUGCGUAGAUAUCGUAAGGAAGACCAGUGGCGAAGGCGGGUCUCUGGACAGUUCCUGACACUGAGACACGAGGGCCAGGGGAGCAAACGGG
rnacentral:rRNA from 1 species